CAGCAGCCGCGGUAAUACGUAGGGUGCAAGCGUUAAUCGGAAUUACUGGGCGUAAAGCGUGCGCAGGCGGUUUGUUAAGACAGAUGUGAAAUCCCCGGGCUUAACCUGGGAACUGCAUUUGUGACUGGCAAGCUAGAGUAUGGCAGAGGGGGGUGGAAUUCCGCGUGUAGCAGUGAAAUGCGUAGAUAUGCGGAGGAACACCGAUGGCGAAGGCAAUCCCCUGGGCCUGCACCGACGCUCAUGCACGAAAGCGUGGGGAGCAAACAGGAUUAGAUACCCGCGUAGUCCCUGUCUCUUAUAC
rnacentral:rRNA from 1 species